GACGUAGGGCGCGAGCGUUGUCCGGAUUUAUUGGGCGUAAAGAGCUCGUAGGCGGUUUGUCGCGUCGUCUGUGAAAACCCACGGCUCAACUGUGGGCUUGCAGUCGAUACGGGCAGGCUAGAGUUCGGUAGGGGAGACUGGAAUUCCUGGUGUAGCGGUGGAAUGCGCAGAUAUCAGGAGGAACACCGGUGGCGAAGGCGGGUCUCUGGGCAGUAACUGACGCUGAGGAGCGAAAGCGUGGGGAGCGAACAGG
rnacentral:rRNA from 1 species